UCAGAACUUGUUUCUGACUUGUUACAGGUAUGAAGGAAUGCUGGGAACAAAAUAAUUAAAAAGAAACAACAUUUUGUCAUUGUUCACAUUUUUCAAGGUACAAUUAGGGGCCAUGUUUUCCAAAGUUCAAAGUACAUGUAUUUGCAGUCAGAGCUGCAGAACUGGAUGUGAAAAAGUCUUCAAGCUCUAUGAGAACCCAGCAACCAUGGGAUCACCUGCUAUUUGUCCCUGCUCUGUCUGAAGAUCAGUGAAAAAUGGUCUCUACCUACUGAGCUGCAUGAAGAAGAAAAUAAGUCUGUAGAUCUUGUCACAAACCCAGUCCUGGUUCCUGCCACAAACCUACCCCAUGUUUGAUCUUUUUCAAAAGCUAAUGAUAAGCUGUAUUCAUUUGUGUCACUUUCUUCACUGUAGAGAUAAUGUUAUUUUGUCUGUACAUAUCUUCACAAUUUUGGAACAUAGCUUAGUCAAAAGGGAACUGGAAGCCUCCUAUGUUGAGAAGCCAAGGCAUUACAGCAAAGCCUCGGGAAAUUAAAUGUGAAGCAAACAAGAGCAAGAAGAACACAGCCUUCAUCAGCAUGAUGGGAGGAGCAGCUACUAUGGAAUAAAAAGCAGGAAAGGAAGAAAACAAAUGUCUGUAUUUUGAUACUUGGAAAGCUAAAAUUAAAGCUUGAAAUCUCACAUGAAUUUGUUCUGAGAAAGAAGUAGGAAGAGCCCCAACAAAGUGCUUGUAAAAAUCAUCUCUCUUUUCUCUUCUCUAUGUUGUGUCUUCCUCCUGCUUCUACAAUGAACUCCAAGCCUUACCUAGAAAAUUA